GGGUUUACUGACUGCAAUUGACAUGAGUCUUUUAUCUUUAUAGUUUAUUCUAUCCUUCACAUUAACUGCCUUUUCCAGAAUUUUCAGCAAGUUUUGACUUCAUACGUGAAUACCAUAUACAAGAAGACUGUAGUCUAUAGUCCGGUGCAGACUCUAGAAAUUUUCCACUAGAAGUAUAUAAGUAUAUUAAAUUAUUUUAAUUUUAAUGUAUAUUACAUUUUUACACAUUUAAAUGUUUUCCAAUGUUAUGUGUAAAUUAUUUGGAUGUAUAUAAAUAUACAAACCCAAACAUGAAAUAUUGUGCUGAAUUAAUCCUAAAAACAGUAAAAACUAAUCUGGAAUGUCUCAAGAAUAAGGUUGCUGAAAAAUGUUAUAUUCUUAUUUCAAACAGUUAAUGGAGGUAAAACAAUGAAACAAACAAACUUUAUAAGUAUUUAAUAUUUAAUGUAACGAAAUUAAGUGUUUUUUGUAUGAUAUUUAGCCAAAUCUAGAACUGAAUUUUUUAUCAUUGGCAGUCUUGGGGCACGACACCAUACGAGAGUUAAAACAAGUUUUUGAAAUUUGUCUACCUAAAUGGGUUCUCUCACUUGAAUUUU